rnacentral:rRNA from 1 species
GGCUCAGAUUGAACGCUGGCGGCAUGCCUUACACAUGCAAGUCGAACGGCAGCACGGGGCGAACCUGGUGGCGAGUGGCGAACGGGUGAGUAAUGCAUCGGAACGUGCCAUUGAGUGGGGGAGUAACGUAGCGAAAGUUGCGCUAAUACCGCAUAUUCUGUGAGCAGGAAAGCAGGGGACCGCAAGGCCUUGCGCUCUUUGAGCGGCCGAUGUCAGAUUAGCUAGUUGGUGAGGUAACGGCUUACCAAGGCGACGAUCUGUAGCGGGUCUGAGAGGAUGAUCCGCCACACUGGAACUGAGACACGGUCCAGACUCCUACGGGAGGCAGCAGUGGGGAAUUUUGGACAAUGGGCGCAAGCCUGAUCCAGCCAUGCCGCGUGAGUGAAGAAGGCCUUCGGGUUGUAAAGCUCUUUCGGCCGGGAAGAAAUCGCAUGGGUUAAUACCCUGUGUGGAUGACGGUACCGGAAUAAGAAGCACCGGCUAACUACGUG